UUCGCUUGAGCGUAUUCACACCUGCAGAAAAGGUCCGGACCAAGGGGGGCAACGAACUCUGGUCCGUUUAAAGCGGACAAAAAGUGGCAAGUCUCCUCUGCUGCCUGCUGCUUCCUUUAGUUUCCUCUAGGUGGUGCCAGAGCAGGGUCUCUGAGGGUUGCAUAGUUCACUGGAUCCCACUCCAGUUCUCCUUCUGGUUCCAAGCCUCCUUUGAUGAUUCUGAUCUUUGGACAAGAUCCCAGCUGACAGCAUUUUUGGCUCCUCUCUCAAGAUACUGGUAAACAAACCCUGCUCACCCUCCACCGUGCUCACCACCAAACUCCACACCGCCUCGCUCUGGCCUUUGGAUCACUUACCUUCAGCAAGUAGCUUGGAUCAGGUCCUACACUAAAGGACAAACUCUCCACUCCCAGACCCACCUCAUUCUCCCCUCUGGUGGUUCAUCUACUCAACAACUAUAAGCAUAAAAUCUUUUCAACGUCAUCAUACAUAUCAACUCCAUUCUAACCUCCCUGUCCCCCUUCCUGCACAGUUGAAGUGUUUUCCUGGUUCCGGAUAUCAACCAACAUUAUUCUUUACAAUAAAACAUCUUAAGUCCUC